rnacentral:rRNA from 1 species
AUUGAACGCUGGCGGCAGGCUUAACACAUGCAAGUCGAGCGAGCGGCGGACGGGUGAGUAAUGUCUGGGAAACUGCCUGAUGGAGGGGGAUAACUACUGGAAACGGUAGCUAAUACCGCAUACAAUCAGAUGUGCCCAGAUGGGAUUAGCUAGUAGGUGGGGUAAUGGCUCACCUAGGCGACGAUCCCUAGCUGGUAUGAGAGGAUGACCAGCCAGACUGGAACUGAGACACGGUCCAGACUCCUACGGAAGGCAGCCUUUGGGAAUAUUGCACAAUUGGCGCAAGCCUUAUGCAGCCAUGCCGCGUGUGUGAAGAAGGCCUUCGGGUUGUAAAGCACUUUCAGCGAUGAGACGUUACUCGCAGUAGAAGCACCGGCUAACUCCGUGCCAGCAGCCGCGGUAAUUC